GCUUCUCGCCGAAUCCUGGCCACCGGGACAUGGUGAGGGGGCGAGGCGGCGGUGGUGGGCGGACGAUCCGGAAGCGCUGGAUGGCGUCCAAAAAGGGCCUCAAGCUCCUCCUCGCCCUCCUCACCACCGUCACUCUCACCUCCUUCGCCCCUGCUCUCGCCCCUUUUCCUGUCCUCUCCUCCUCCCGCCACUAUCUCUCCUCGGGCAAUGAUCGAGGGUUCUGGAUAGCUGAUGACAUGUUUUGGAAAGAUGGUCAACCUUUUCAGAUCAUCGGUGGCGAUGUGCACUAUUUUCGGGUUCUUCCUGAGUACUGGGAAGAUAGACUUUUAAGAGCCAAGGCACUGGGCUUGAACACCAUCCAAACCUAUGUUCCUUGGAAUUUACAUGAACCAGCACCCCAGAAAUGGGUUUUUGAGGGUAUUGCAGAUAUCGAAUCAUUUUUGAAGCUUGCACAGGAAUUAGGUUUUCUUGUUAUGCUACGUGCAGGACCCUACAUCUGUGCAGAGUGGGACUUUGGAGGUUUUCCUGCCUGGUUACUAGCUAUAGAACCAGCUCUCAAACUGAGAUCAUCAGAUCCUGAAUUCCUUCAAUUGGUUGAAAGAUGGUGGGCAGUUUUGCUUCCAAAAAUGGCUCCUCUACUGUAUGAAAAUGGGGGCCCUAUUAUUAUGGUUCAGGUAGAAAAUGAGUUUGGAUCAUAUGGAGAUGACAAGAAAUAUCUUCAUCACCUUGUGACUUUGGCUAGAAGGCACCUUGGAAAUGAUAUUGUUCUUCAUGGGAGGGAGCUCAGAGAGGAAGAGAUAGAGAAGAAGGGAAGGAGAGGAAGAAGGGAGAGAAGGUAUACUACAGAUGGUGGUUCUAAAGAUACACUAGAAAAUGGAACUAUUCUUGGGGAGGGUGUUUUCUCAGCUGUUGAUUUUUCAACUGGUGACAAUCCAUGGCCAAUAUUUAAGUUGCAGAAGAAGUAUAAUGCACCAGGAAAAUCACCUGCUCUAUCAUCGGAAUUUUAUACAGGAUGGCUUACACACUGGGGAGAGCAGAUUGCAGAAACUGAUGCCAACUUGACAGCUGCAGCCCUACAAAAGAUUUUAUCUCGAAAUGGUUCUGCAGUACUCUAUAUGGCUCAUGGUGGAACCAAUUUUGAGUUUUUCAGUGGUGCAAAUACUGGUCAGAAUGAAUCUGAUUACAAGGCUGACCUCACUUCUUAUGAUUAUGAUGCUCCAAUCAAGGAGUCUGGUGAUGUGGACAACCCAAAGUUCAAAGCAUUGAGAAGAGUCAUUGAGACAUAUAGAAGCGUAGCUCUACCCCCAGUUCCUUCCAAUAAUAAGAGGGCAAGUUAUGGGCUUGUUGAGGUUAGCAAAAUUGCUUCCUUUUUUGAGGUCCUUGAUACCAUAUGUUCUCCAAUGGAGGUGGUUGAAGCAGAACAUCCCAUUGCAAUGGAGUUGGUGGGCCAGAUGUUUGGAUUUGUAUUAUAUGUGACAGAAUACCCCCAAAAGGAAACAAGUAGCAUUCUUUCAAUUCCCAAGGUGCAUGACAGAGCUCAAGUGUUUAUUUCAUGCUCAGUUGAUGAUAAUGGAAGUCCAAUAUACGUUGGUGUAAUUGAAAGAUGGUCAAACAAGGCACUUGCAAUGCCCAAAAUCAAUUGCUCUUCUAACAUCGGCUUAUUUGUUCUGGUGGAAAAUUUGGGCCGUGUGAAUUAUGGGCCAUACAUGUAUGACAGGAAGGGAAUACUGUCUCCGGUUAUACUGGACGAUGUUGUCCUCCAUCAGUGGAAAACAUAUCCAAUUUCGUUUCAGAGAUUUAUAAAUCAUUCAAAAGAUAACCCUAUCAAGCAAGCUGCCAAUUCUAGAAUUAAUAAGAUAUUGAUCCAGAACAGUCUGAAAGAUCACUCCAGCAGGUUUACAUUUUCACUUAAAGAGAGUAUUUCAGAAGAACCAGGAUUUUACAAAGGUCAUUUCUAUGUAGAUCCAAGAAACCAAGUUAGAGAUACGUUCAUAUCAUUUUCUGGUUGGAGCAAAGGGAUUGCUUUUGUGAACAAUUUCAAUAUUGGGAGAUUCUGGCCGUUGUUUGGACCUCAGUGCACUCUUUAUGUUCCUGCACCAAUCCUUCAACACGGAGAAAAUGUUGUGGUCAUACUAGAGUUGCAUGCUCCCAAUCCUGAUCUCACUAUUGAGUUGGUGGAAAACCCAGAUUUUACAUGUGGACCAAAACAUCAUCAGAAAUGAUCACAUGCAUUUUCAUCCAGAGGGUAUAGUGCAAUGCUGAAAGUGAAUGAUUAUUGCUGCUCAAAAAAGCAAGUGAAUGAUUUAUUGAUGGAGAUCAACACGCCAUAAGACGUGAAGCAGUUGCAAUGCUGCCAGUGAAAGCUAUGACCACCCCGGCUGUGUCCCUGCCAUCCAAUCAAUUCAAAUGUUCAUGUAUGUUACAAGGUGAAGAUGCAGAAAAUGAUUUGCAGACUAUGCUGCUGUACAUGGUGCAACAGGUGGGUUGCUGAAACUCUUUCAUAGCGUGCCAUGAGUUUUUUGCUGCUGGGAAUGGUAGCAAUAUGCACUCUACGGCAGAUAUAACACAUCACACAAUGUAUGCUUCCAUCAAUCAACUGUUGUCUAAAGUAUUCAAACAUGCAUCAACCUCAAGAGUAAUCUAGGAUAUGUAAUUAUCGGGAUAUGGUAAAUUUUGAGGAACUAUAUUAUGUCUUCAAACAGCCCAUAAACAUAAUCCCGAUUGGAACUUUUUAAAUGGUCUGACAGUCACGAAUCCAGCACCAGAAAGAUGUGAGCAGGAUUUAUUACUAGGUCUUGUAAUAAGCAUAGGCAGCUACACUUGGUCAUUCUAUUGAUUUUCACUCUGCUUGCACAAAA